rnacentral:rRNA from 1 species
GACGAACGCUGGCGGCGUGCCUUACACAUGCAAGUCGAACGAACUAGAGGGAUUUAUUCCUCUAGUUAGUGGCGGACGGGUGAGUAACGCGUGAGUAAUCUGCCUCAAUCUGGGGAAUAACACAAAGAAAUUUGUGCUAAUACCGCAUAAGACCACGAAAUGGCAUCAUUUAGUGGUAAAAGAUUUAUCGGAUUGAGAUGAGCUCGCGUCCCAUUAGGUAGUUGGUGUGAUAAAAGCUCACCAAGCCUUCGAUGGGUAGCCGAUCUGAGAGGAUGACCGGCCACAUUGGGACUGAGAUACGGCCCAAACUCCUACGGGAGGCAGCAGUGGGGAAUAUUGGGCAAUGGGCGAAAGCCUGACCCAGCAACGCCGCGUGAGUGAAGAAUGUCUUCGGAUUGUAAAGCUCUGUUUCGAGGGAAGAAAAAAAUGACGGUACCUCGGGAGGAAGCUCCGGCUAAAUACGUGCCAGCAGCCGCGGUAAUAC